rnacentral:lncRNA from 1 species
GGGAAGGGCAAUGCCUCCGCAAACAAGUCAGGAGUUCACACCCCGCGCCACGAUGGGUGCGAGGCGGCGGGAGGCAGCCGGGUCCCGAGGGCAGCCCGGAGCCGCUUCCGCCCGCACCGCGUCGCUCCCGGCACGGGUUGAGUGCCGCGCGUCCGCCGGCAGCGCCGAAGCCCGCAGGGAGCUCGGCCGAGGGCCGCGGGUCGGGCUCCGGGCGAGGCCUGCGCGCUACAGCGGGCGGGAGGAGGCCCGGCCCGGGCCCUCUACACAACACCGGCAGCCGCGUCUCCGCGCGACGGCGGAGCCUCGCCUGGGAGACCCUCGCGGAAACGGCCCCUAUGGAAAGAGCCUCAGUUUCCAGCGGGGCCUCCCGAGGAAGCCCUCGCAUCCCGGGGCCCCGCUCCGGAGGCCGCAAGGCCGCGCUCCGACCUAAGAUGGCGUCGGCCUCACAGGCGACAAUCCCCCCGCGGCCUGCCCGCCCGCCGCGCAGCGAGGCUCCCCGCGGCCCGAAGGCGGCGGGCCGGGAGGGCCGAGAGCGGCGGGCGGACCGGCUUACCGUGCUCCGCGUCCGGAGGAGCCGCGGCGCGCCGCCCCGCUCCUCGCUGCCGGGCCGGCGGGGGGGAUGGGAGCAGCCGCGCUGGCGAAGCCGCCUCCCAUCGCCGAACAGCGGCGCCCCACCUCAGCCGCCGCCGGGGAAAGGAGGGCGGGCGCGCGGGGAAGGGGUGGGUGGCCGCGCGGCGCCUGACGGGUAGCGCGGGGCAGCCCCACAGCGGCGCCUGUUCUCCCGCCGCCGCGGGGCGGGGCCGGGCCGGGGCCGCGCGGGGCGGGGCCGGGCGCCAUGUGCCGUGUGCCAUGUGCCGGGCCUCACACCCGGCCGCGCGCCUCGCGCCCCUUCUGCCUCGCUGGGCGGGCCCGGCCUCAGACGCGGGAAUCAGACAUCUGAGGUGAAGCUGUACUCACGGUCAGCGUGAAACACAACCGCGUAGAACGUGGAGGUGGUGGAGCUGCACUCCGAACGCAGUUAAGAGAGCAGGUUUGUGGUGUGCCCGUUUUUCCACUGGUUUUUCACAGCAGUUCACUCAGGGGUUGCAUAACAGAACCGGAUGCUAAAGCAGGCCGUUGCAGAGCCUCCCAGGGCACAGCGCUGCCCGCGCUUCCAAUGGAACAUCACCAACCGGCGGGACGAGCCCUGAACGGGGCAGCGGGCGGGCAGAGCCCUGCCUGGGAGCACAGCCCCAUAGGAGCCGCUCGUUUUCACUCAUUUAUUCACUGAUGUGAAGAUCACUGAACCACAAGGUGACCAAGAAGUUCAUUUUUUCUCCUAUCUUUUAGCCUCUAGUGCUCCCACACCCUCAAAUAUUAGUUACAGUAACCUCGGUGUCUCUGAGAGCAUUCCAGCUUAGAUUCUUUUUUUUUUCCUCACAACUUUGCUGCCUCUUCUACCAUAAUUUAAAAAGCAGAAGUGCAAUUCUUCUAGCAAAAUACGGAAUUAUUUCUGGUGAAUUUUAAAGGUAAAUAAUGGGAAAGGUCUUAACUAAAUGUAUUCUUUAUUACUCAACUUCAUCUGCCCAUGCUUCUCUCGCCUUACAGUUAGUGACAUCUGUCACAGCUGCCUUUGGACUUGCCCAAUUUAUUUAGCAUAAAUUCUCUCUCAAAUAUAGGUAUUUCUCAGAAGAAUAGAUGAAGUAUCCUUAUUUUUGUAAGCUGAAGCUCUAAAUUGCUGUGUUUAGCCUGGAAAAUGUUCUGCUCAUCUGAAGCAUCAUCUUUAGCCUUGAGUUGUUUCCAAGGUUCGUCAGAGAGGUGAAGAAAAACAUACACAAUGUCUAGUAAUUAAGUAACUGCUAGUUAGUAUUUACGCCUUUAAAUCAUUUAGUUUAGUAACUAAAAAAUAUACCAUCCUGCCAAAGUAGGAUACAAAAAAUAAAGACUCGUGAUACUUGGCAGGAAAUUGAGAAAAAGAAUGGGUACUAGAGAUGGGAACUUCAUUUAGGCAGAAGUGAUGGAGAAGAAAUAGCAAUAAUCCGGUUGUUUAAAACACAUGUUUAACAACACAUGUACCUACUGAGAAACCAUAGUGGGUUUAUGCUCCAUCUAAAUCAAAAUAAAUACAAAGAGAAUAUUAAGAUUGCAAGGUGAAACAACAGAAUUAAGAACAACUUUACAUGUUUUAUUUGUUAACCUUAUGAAUUCUAACCUUAUGAAUUAGGUACACAACUGUAUACAGUCUGGUCUGCAAGACCAUUACCUGAGUCCUUGAGCAAAUGUAUUUGAAUAUCACAUUUUUGCACCAUUCUGCAAAGCUAUAGGAGCAAAACAAGUUUACCAAAUGGGAUUAAUAAUCAUUCACAACUUUGCAACUCACAAAUGAAUGAAAGCUAGUAAAUAAACCCUAUAAUUACAAAGGAUUUCUUUCCAAGAGGCCCUUAGUUGAUAGAUGAGCAUCUUGGACAAGCUUAAUAGGUAGGUAAUUAGAAAUGAUGGAUGCAAUUACCAACUUUAUUCCACGUAUCAAGCAGCACUUGUUCAUAUUGCUCUUAUUUCACUUGUCACGUUCAGGCAUUUCAGAGCAAGAGGUGUCAGCUAACUAUGAGGAUUUUGCAAGUGGGAUAUGGGAAGGAGGGUAGAGCAGGCAGCAAAUUGAAGCCCGAAGCAUGCCUUAUCGAGGGGUAAUUAAUGAAUAGAUUGUUAGCUGAUAACUUGCAGGAUGGAACUGGGGGAAAGUUUUGGCAGGAAGAAUAUGAAUGAAGACAUUUUCUUGUACAUUAUGGUUUUAAGGGGAACAAUAUAGACAGUAGUUAGAGGAUUGUCACUGAGAAGUGUAAGUCUUUUUCUGGUAUGCAUUUCUCAAUAAGGUGGCAGUUGCAUUCAACUGCUUCAACUCAACAAAAAAAAAAAUGGAGGCUGGAAAAGAACUAGCACAGUAAAUGACUGUCAUUUAUUUUUGUAGACAGAAGGCCUGGUAUAACAGUUUUCAAGAUGGUAAUCCAUUUUUCUUUUAUGGAAAAAAAGCUUGGGGUUAGGAAAAAAAACCUCACACUGUUUCAAUUGUCAUGUCUUUAGACAGUGCAUCAAUGCAUGCAAAAGCUUGAUGAUUACUUCUCACCCUGGCACCAUGCUAUUUAGCUUGUUGAUCCUUUUACAUUUUUAACCACAGCCAUCUCAUCCAUACGUAGCUAAAAGGCAAAUAGGCUCCAUCAGGGUUUUAGGAAACACAGAUAGUUUGAUUGAACUGCUUUGUAUUCCCAUAUCAAGGCUGAAGAGCUAGAUACUGGGAAAUCAGUUGAUACUCCAGAAACCUUGCUAUGCCAGAAUAGCAGAAUUUGUUCUCAAGGCAUAUGAACGAACUUACUUCUUAUCAUGAAAUCCUAGCCAAGCUAGUGUUUCAUUCUAGAUUUAGUGCUGCUGAACAACUGAUAAAAAUAUACCUAAUAAUGUUUUUUUAAACCCUUCUGAGUAGCACUCUGUUUGUGUCAGAUCACUGAAUGCAACCUGGGAAUCGAGGUGCAAUUGCUAGUUCUAAUUUUGUAUGUCAGCAAAGAAUAUAUAGCUAAGUGAGGAAAUCUCACUCAUUAGCAUUGUAGUUACAGGUUUGUUUAGUAUUAUUUGUUAUUCUUAGAGGCACUACACACAUACAGCAAGUACCAAUCUGUGUGACAUUGCCGUUGGAGCUGCUGCCAAAAUUUUAUUAGAAUGGGUAAGUUCAGAUGAGAAGCCUGUAACUAUGAAUGCACAAACAGGAACAUCUGCAAAAUAAACACUAUUCAACACAUCUAUGGUUUACUCAAGUAUUCCGUAAGGUAUGCUUGUAAAAUUGAUUGCAUUUAGUCUGAUGUGGUUUGUUGUUACAGUAUCAUACCUUAGGAAUUUGGCACCAGUAUAAACACUAAGGGAUGAUCUGUUUCUAACACUGUUUUAUGUUAGGCAUAUACAAUUUGUUUGCAUUUUCCUUGUUGAGAUGAUAUGAAAAGUUUUAACGUGCAGCCCUAAAGAAAAGCGCAAGCUUCCUGUCUUUUAAACAUUAAGGUAUGCCUCUGUAAAUUAAGAAAAAAAAAGGAACUAACCCCAGACAUAGAUUAUUUUUUUAAACACAUUUGGCAUACCAUCAUGCAAGAUAAAAAGGAUAUAUUUAUAAUCAAGGAGAGUUGGUGUCCCUUCAGUGCGCAUGUACUUCUCCUGUCAACAUUACUCAGACUCCUCAGGACAGAACACAUUCAAAGCUGUUUAAAAUUACAAGAAAUGCUUGAAUCAGAUGGGUUCUGUAAGAGUGAAAAUGACUGCAAACAGAGCCGUGGCUACUACAAGUCUAGGUUGUUAUUUUGACAGGUAGGAAAAAUAUUUCUUAAAGAAAAUGUUCGGUUUCCAGAUGUUUUUUUGUGGUAACCUUACAUUAAAACAAAGUUAGUAGAUUAACAUUAAUGACAUAAGCCUUUUGUUCUUUUAUUUUCUCAUUUAAGAAAUUGAUUUUAGAAGUUAAUACUAUGUACACUCGAUUAUCUAUUGCAACUAGUUGUCCUGUUCUCACAUCAGUGACAGAGGGCAUACACCUUGUCUUUUGGACUCAUUUUUAUCAUUUGCCUAAGAACAAACUGAAUCCUAGAUGUUUGUUACUGUCUGUACUCCACACAGUAAAGAAAAUGCAGGUAGAUAACUGUUUGGUUUUGCUUUCUGUCCAUUUCUAUCCAAUUCAGUAAUUCAGUAGUAAAGCACAUUGUUCCAUUGAGUUGGUGACAGACACUUGUAAUACUUGGCAGAAGUCUUCAGUAGUGUGGGAAGUGACUUAAUACUGAUUCAAUGUACGUUCUAGAGACUUCUGUUGAAAAAUGACUCUAUUCAGUAAAGUUUGUAGUCAUAUUUUCUACUCAAGAAAAAAAUAAUGGGGCAGAAAUUCAUGUGAAUGUAUUGAAGUCUUGUGACAGCAAUUGCCAGGUUGUUCUGACAUGAAAUGUGAGAAUGCUACUGCUUGAUCUGUUUUUUUCUCUCUAUAUCACUUGCUCUCACAAUCCUGGUCAGAGAAAAAAAGAGGCAUUGUGCAUGACUCCAACAAGGUAGUUCUGAAACUACUGAUAAUAAUAGUGCUGAAGGGUUUAAAUGAUGCACCUUCUUUGAUAUAAUAAAAUAACUGUGUUGCAUCACAAUGAAUUACUACUGGGAAGAUUUAAAUAAUUGAAGAAUAAACAAAUGAACAUUCCGGCUCCUAAGUUAAAAGUAUUUUCUCAUCACUCGAAAGAAAGGAACUAAUAACACAAAAAUAAAGGAAGGAAAGCUGUUAAACCUAAUUUUCCUGUAGUAUAAUAUUACUCAGAACUUCUGCUGAGAUAUCAGCAACUGUGGGCAAAUCACGAUAAGGAGAAAGUGGCGCCAUUUUAGUCUAUUAAAUUAAUUUAUAUCCUUUACAAUGAACUGUAUUUGCAUGGCAGUUUCUUUUCAUAAAACUGGUACUGGAACUGCUUUCUUGGUGCUGUUACCACAUCUGUAAUAUAUGUUCAUGAAUUAUGAGAAAAUCUGAGCCUGGUUAUUUUUUUUUAACAAAGUUUACUGCUAAACCAAAACCAAAAAAAAGUAUCAGAGUAGCAAAGAAUAAGAGGAUAGAGAUUGUCUUCUUAUCACCCCAGCUCCCAAUUUACUCGUCAGGCUUGAGUCGUUCUUGCACAGUGACCAUUUAUGUGAAACAACAGCAACAGCAACAAAAAAGAUGGCUUAUUCCAAAAUCCUUACUAGUAUGGAUGAGUGGAUCUUCUUGAGCAGUAGAAGGAAAUAGGAAGAGGUCUUCUGUAUCCUACAUGAAAGCAGCUUGUUCUGGACUUUUGGGUGAAGGGGGGCAUUGCUUCCUUCCCUUACUUACAAAACUAGCUGGACAUACAAUAUCCCGAGUUGGAAGGGACCCACAGGGACUGUCAAGUCCAACCCGUCUCCACAGAGGGACCACCCAAAUGCAAACACUCCUUCAGCUGCAGCAGCUCGAGGCCAUGCCCACUGCCAUGCCAUGCCCACCACCCUCUGGUGCAGACCCCUUCCCUAACCACCACCUGCCCCUCCCCUGACACAGCUCCAUACCAUUCCCUCAGGCCCUGUCACUGUCUCCAGAGAGCGCUGCCUUCCACUCCCCGUGAGGAUCUGCAGCUGCCAUAGGCCUCCCUGCAGCCUGCUCUGCACUGAGCAAACCUGAGGACCUCAGCCACUCCUCACACAUCGUGCCCUCAGACACUUCCCUAUUUUUGUAGCCCUCCUUCAGACACUUUUCUUGUGUUGUGGCACCCAAACCUGCACCCAGUGCUGGAGGUGAGGCCAUACAGCACAGAGCAGAGCGGGACAACCCCUUCCCUCACCCAGCUGGCAAUGCUGUGCCUGAUGCACUCCAGGGUACUGUGACUCAUGGACAAUUUGCUGCCAACUAGAAACCCCAGGUCCUUUCCACAGGGCUGCUCUCCAGCCCCUCAAUCCCUGGUCUGUACAUAUAGCCAGGGCUGCCCCAUCCCAGCUGCAGAACCCAG